CCUGCGCCUCCAUUCUUGCUGAGCUCUGAGCAGGUCCAGCUGGGACAUUCUGGGAAUGCGCUCCCCAGCUAUAGGCAGGAGGUGGGCACCACAGUGGCAGCACAACCCUUCGCGAUGCCUGAGAGCAGCCAGCAGUUUGUCCAGCUCGAAGGUCAGCGUUCCACCUGUCUUUUCAGCAAGACCUCGUGGGAAAAGAUGCAGGAUAUUCCUCUGGCUGCUUGUUCUUCACUGCGCCAGGGUCCGAGGCAGGCGCCGUGGUGGUCCAGCGUCAUGGUGGAAUACCGGGAGUAGUGAAUGCCCAUCGGGGGACUGUUGACAUCAAGGGGGAGCGUGCCACCAUGAGAGGAAUGGGGUGAGAGUUACAGCCGUUAACCUGCAGGGAUAUCCACAAGGUAUGGCCAGUGGGAAAAGAAAGAGGCAGAAUUGUGCAUAAUACCUCAUUUGCAAAAUGAGUAACGGAAAAUGCCAUGUACAGGUGCACACGUGGGUGUGGGUUUGUGCUUACGCACGCCUGGGUGAGAUGAACCAAGGGAACAUGUGGAGGGAUACAUUCUAGAUAAUGGCCUCUGCCAUCUGGGAUGGGAGACAUGGGCCCUUUUGGGUUUCUUCCUCCUGCUUUCCUGGAAUGCAGGCCUGACGGCUGGCGCUUCAGCAGUGAUCUUCAGCCCUGAGAGUGCCUGGAUGUGGAAGCCACCACAAACAGUGACAGAACCCGGCUUCCUAUCAGACGUGGGGCCAUCCCACUGGAACGCCUACCUCCAGACUUCUUGUUUGUGAGAGACAUUAGCUUUCCAAAGAUUCUGUUGAUUUCAGUUUGUGUCACAACUUGCCAAAAGUAAUUCCUGUUUGAUACAGUAUGUACUAAAAAAAAAAAAAAAAAGAAAAAGAAUACAUAAGGAAGUGCUAAGUUGAAGAAAGAAUAUUAAAAAUCACGAGAAGAGACCAAGGCAAAUGGAUAUAUCCUAGAUCAAUCCUAGAUUCGUGUGGUCGUGAAUAUUUGCUCCUGGUCUAUUUAUUCUGGCUCUCCUGAGUCAGUCAAGGACGUAAGUGUUCGGAAGCAUCUUUUCUCUCCAACCUGGAGCCACCCACCCUGCGUUAAGGAGUAUGAAAGACGCUGACCCGGCCCCGCCAGCAAGUCAGGCUCACUAGGAGACUGGCCUACCGCCAUGGAGCUGGUUAACCGCAUAGCACCUGGGGAAGUGGUGCAGAAAAUAGUGCCCUGCCUGCAGGCAUGUUCUGGAUUGUUCCCUGCCUCUGUAGUGCUUCGCUUUUGUGUUGGAACAAUCACUUCAGGACAUCAACUUGAAAAGAUUUUU
rnacentral:lncRNA from 1 species